rnacentral:SRP_RNA from 1 species
GGUGGGCACAGUAACGCAUGCCUGUAGCCCAGCUACUCUAAAGGCUGAGGCAGGAGGAUCACUUGAGCCCAGGAGUUCUGGGCUGUCACGUGCUCUGCCAAUUGGGUGUCCUUGUGUAUCCACACUAAGUUCGGCAUCAACAUAUGGUGACCUCCUAGGAUCGAGGGACCACCAGGAUGCCUAAGGAGGAGUGAACCAGUCCAGGUCAGAAAUGGAGCAGAGAGGUCAAAACUCUCAUGCUGAUCAGUAUAGGAUCACACCUUCGAAUAGCCACUGCAUACCACCAGCCUAGGCAACAUAGUGAGACACUAUCUCU